AGCCUGAACGCUGGCGGCGUGGCUAAGACAUGCAAGUCGUACGGGCCCGCAAGGGCCAGUGGCGGACGGGUGAGUAAAGUAUCGCUAACGUACCCCAGGGUCUGGGAUAGCCGGCCGAAAGGCCGGGUAAUACCGGAUGACAUGGCGGCGGGGCCUCCCGCCGCUCUCAAAGGGCAACCACCGUGGGAGCGGGCGAUAUCGUAUCAGCUAGUUGGCGGGGUAACGGCCCACCAAGGCGACGACGCGUAGCUGGUCUGAGAGGACGACCAGCCACAUCGGGACUGAGACACUGCCCGGACUCCUACGGGGGGCUGCAGUAACGAAUCUUCCGCAAUGCACGCAAGUGUGACGGAGCGACGCCGCGUGGAGGACGAAGUCCUUCGGGAUGUAAACUCCUGUCAGGGGCUACCAAGUUCUGAGGGGCCCCAGAGGAAGGCACGGCUAACUCUGCGCCAGCGCCGC
rnacentral:rRNA from 1 species